CGGACGUAUCCGAAUGAUGGCGGUUGUGUCACUGAAACCGAAAGUAACAUUUUUUAUAUCCGCCUCCAUCGGGGGAAUCUGUCAAUUUACAGAUACAGUGCUGGAGAUAUUCCCAGAUGUCACCAUAAAUCUGGCAAAGAUCAAUAGAAAACUUGUAGACAUUUUAAAGUAGAAAAGUGGAAACUCCACAGGUAGUAUAACAAGACAAAAACGAAAAUGUUGCAGGCAUGGUUUGAUUGAGCCUGUUUAUGGGCAGUAGUGGAAAUGCUAACUAUCACCAUGAUGCAAGAAGUCUGAAGAUAAAUAAGUCUGACAGUUAACAGUCACUUGACCCUUUUAGUACUUUUGUGAGCAUGAAAUCGCUCUUUCAAUUCUAUUUAUCAUCUAAUUAAUUGUUUUAUUCAACCAUUUUUACAUAUUGAACCAUUUUUCGACAACUACAUGUAUUAUCAGAAGCAUUCGCACUGUUUUGACAUUAAAAGGAUGAAACUUUGUUAUACAAAGCUGCAUGAAUGCAUUUAUUGAGUUAGAUAAUUAAGUGUAUACAGCUGGAAUUUUUGCUUAGAAUAAUCUUGUGUUUAAGAUUUAUUUUGGCUUUAAAAUUUAGCUUAGACUACUGUAUUAAUAAGAUUAAUGUCCUGUUGCAUAAUUGUGCCUAAAUUCAUUAAAUGCUUUCAUUAAUUAAAUUUCAGGCAUUAAUAUGAUUGACUGUUUGAGCUUGUAUGUGAAAAUAUUUUUAAGUAAAAUUGAAUAAAGAAUACAAUUUAAAA
rnacentral:lncRNA from 1 species